rnacentral:rRNA from 1 species
AUACACGCUGGCGGCGUGCUUCACACAUGCAAGUCGCACGAAGUUUUUCUUUCGGGAGGAACUUAGUGGCGGACGGGUGAGUAACGCGUGGGUAACCUGCCCUGUACAGGGGGACAACAGCUGGAAACGGCUGCUAAUACCGCAUAAGCCCUUAGCACUGCAUGGUGCAUAGGGAAAAGGAGCAAUCCGGUACAGGAUGGACCCGCGUCUGAUUAGCCAGUUGGCAGGGUAACGGCCUACCAAAGCGACGAUCAGUAGCCGAUCUGAGAGGAUGUACGGCCACAUUGGGACUGAGACACGGCCCAGACUCCUACGGGAGGCAGCAGUGGGGAAUAUUGCACAAUGGAGGAAACUCUGAUGCAGCGACGCCGCGUGAGUGAAGAAGUAUUUCGGUAUGUAAAGCUCUAUCAGCAGGAAAGAAAAUGACGGUACCUGACUAAGAAGCACCGGCUAAAUACGUG